AUUGAACGCUGGCGGCAGGCCUAACACAUGCAAGUCGAGCGAGCGGCGGACGGGUGAGUAAUGUCUGGGAAACUGCCUGAUGGAGGGGGAUAACUACUGGAAACGGUAGCUAAUACCGCAUACCAUCAGAUGUGCCCAGAUGGGAUUAGCUAGUAGGUGGGGUAACGGCUCACCUAGGCGACGAUCCCUAGCUGGUCUGAGAGGAUGACCAGCAACACGGGGACUGAGACACGGUCCAGACUCUGCCGGGAGGCAGCAGUGGGGAAUAUUGCACCAUGGGCGCAAGCCUGAUACAGCAAUGCCGAGUGUGUGAAGAAGGCCUUCGGGUUGUAAAGCACUUUCAGAGGGGAGGCGUUACCCGCAGAAGAAGCACCGGCUAACUCCGUGCCAGCAGCCGAGGUAAUAA
rnacentral:rRNA from 1 species